AACGAGCGCUGGCGGCAGGCUUAACACACGCAAGUCGAGCGCCCCGCAAGGGGAGCGGCAGACGGGUGAGUAACGCGUGGGAAUCUACCCAACCCUACGGAAUAACGCAUGGAAACGUGUGCUAAUACCGUAUACGCCCUACGGGGGAAAGAUUUAUCGGGGAUGGAUGAGCCCGCGUUGGAUUAGCUAGUUGGUGGGGUAAAGGCCUACCAAGGCGACGAUCCAUAGCUGGUCUGAGAGGAUGAUCAGCCACAUUGGGACUGAGACACGGCCCAAACUCCUACGGGAGGCAGCAGUGGGGAAUAUUGGACAAUGGGCGCAAGCCUGAUCCAGCCAUGCCGCGUGAGUGAUGAAGGCCCUAGGGUUGUAAAGCUCUUUCACCGAUGAAGAUAAUGACGGUAGUCGGAGAAGAAGCCCCGGCUAACUUCGUGCCAGCCGCCGCCGUAAAAC
rnacentral:rRNA from 1 species